rnacentral:rRNA from 1 species
AGUGAACGCUGGCGGUAUGCCUAACACAUGCAAGUCGAACGGCAGCACAGUAGGAGCCUGCUCUUGCCGGGGGCGGGUGGGGGAAGGAUUACAUCGGCACCUGACCCUACGUUUGCGUGGGCGCUGAGAAAGCGGGACUAACACCGCUUCCGCAUACCGCCUAAAAGUGGGGGCCGUGGAGCCUCGGCCCUUGCGGGUUUGCAUAUGGCGAUGUCGGAUUAGCUAGUUGGCGGGGUAAAGGCCCACCAAGGCGACGAUCCGUAGCUGGUCUGAGAGGAUGAUCAGCCACACUGGAACUGAGACACGGUCCAGACUCCUACGGGAGGCAGCAGUGGGGAAUAUUGGACAAUGGGCGAAAGCCUGAUCCAGCCAUGCCGCGUGUGUGAAGAAGGCCUUCGGGUUGUAAAGCCCUUUUGUUCGGAAAGAAAAGCAUCGGGCUAAUACCCCGCGGUUAUGACGGUACCCAAAGAAUAAGCACCGGCUAGCUUCGUG